UUAUGACCUGGGCUACACACGUACUACAAUGGCCGGUACAACGGGAAGCGAAGCCGCGAGGUGGAGCCAAUCCUAGAAAAGCCGGUCUCAGUUCGGAUUGUAGGCUGCAACUCGCCUACAUGAAGUCGGAAUUGCUAGUAAUCGCGGAUCAGCAUGCCGCGGUGAAUACGUUCCCGGGUCUUGUACACACCGCCCGUCACACCACGAGAGUUUACAACACCCGAAGUCGGUGAGGUAACCGCAAGGGGCCAGCCGCCGAAGGUGGGGUAGAUGAUUGGGGUGAAGUCGUAACAAGGUAGCCGUAUCGGAAGGUGCGGCUGGAUCACCUCCUUUCUAUGGAGA
rnacentral:rRNA from 1 species